rnacentral:lncRNA from 1 species
UUCCCCACAUUCCCCCUCAUUUUUCCCCAUUUUUUCCCUGCAUUCCCCCUCAAUUUUCCCCAUUUUUUCCCCACAUUUCCCCUCAAUUUUCCCCAUUUUUUCCCUACAUUUCCCCUCUCCCAACCCCCCAAAAUUCCCAUUUUCCCAGCUCUCUCCACGCUGCUGCUGCUGCCCACGGGCUCGGCUCAAUCCCUCUGUUCCCAACUCCCUGCCUUCCUCUACCACCGCCGCUCGCGCUGCAUCUCCAUCGUCGUCUCCCCCCUCAUCUCCCUCAUGGACGACCAGGCCUUCCCUCAGCGCUCACAGGCGUCUGCAUCCACUCCAACCUCACCCCAGCGCAGCGCGAGGCCGCCAUCCAAAAAGUGAGGAGCGGCCAGGCCCAGCUCCUGCUG